rnacentral:rRNA from 1 species
UACGGAGGGGGCGAGCGUUAUUCGGAAUUAUUGGGCGUAAAGGGCGCGUAGGCGGCUUGAUGUGUCAAAGGUGAAAUCCCUCGGCUCAACUGAGGAACUGCCUUUGAAACUGUCUGGCUUGAGGCCGGGAGAGGGUAGCGGAAUUCCCAGUGUAGCGGUGAAAUGCGUAGAUACUGGGAGGAACACCGGUGGCGAAGGCGGGACUCUGGGCCGAUACUGACGCUGAGGAGCGAAAGCGUGGGGAGCGAACAGG